ACGGGGCAGGAGGAGUUAGUUAGCAAAGAGCUGGGGCUGGGCGCGCGACCCUCGUCCUUCUGCCCCUGACCGCACACUUUGCACACAUCUCUUUUCUGCAUGGUGGAUAUUAUUUUUCAUUAUCCUUUUCUGGGUGCUAUGGGGGAUCAUUCCAAGAAGAAGCCCGGGACGGCCAUGUGCGUGGGCUGCGGCAGUCAGAUCCACGACCAGUUCAUCCUCCGGGUGUCCCCCGACCUCGAGUGGCACGCCGCCUGCCUCAAGUGCGCCGAGUGCAGCCAGUACCUGGACGAGACGUGCACGUGCUUCGUGAGAGACGGGAAGACCUACUGCAAGCGGGACUAUGUCAGGCUGUUCGGCAUCAAGUGCGCCAAGUGCCAGGUGGGCUUCAGCAGCAGCGAUCUGGUGAUGCGGGCGCGGGACACCGUGUACCACAUCGAGUGCUUCCGCUGCUCCGUGUGCAGCCGCCAGCUGCUGCCCGGGGAUGAGUUCUCGCUGCGGGAGCACGAGCUGCUCUGCCGCGCAGACCAUGGCCUCCUGCUCGAGCGCGCCGCCGCCGGCAGCCCGCGCAGCCCCGGUCCGCUUCCGGGCGCCCGCGGCCUGCAUCUGCCAGAUCCCGGGCCGGGCCGGCAGCCCUCGCUGCGCCCCCACGUGCACAAGCAGACGGAGAAGACGACCCGCGUGCGGACCGUGCUCAACGAGAAGCAGCUGCACACGCUGCGGACGUGCUACGCGGCCAACCCGAGGCCGGACGCGCUCAUGAAGGAGCAGCUGGUGGAGAUGACGGGCCUGAGCCCGCGGGUCAUCCGAGUCUGGUUCCAGAACAAGCGAUGCAAGGACAAGAAGAAGUCCAUUCUCAUGAAGCAGCUUCAGCAGCAGCACAGCGACAAGGCGAGCCUCCAGGGACUGACCGGCACGCCCCUGGUGGCGGGCAGCCCCAUCCGUCACGAGAGCGCCGUGCAGGGCAGCGCAGUCGAGGUGCAGACCUACCAGCCGCCGUGGAAAGCGCUCAGCGAGUUCGCUCUCCAGAGUGACCUGGACCAACCCGCCUUCCAGCAGCUGGUGUCCUUCUCCGAGUCUGGCUCCCUAGGCAACUCCUCGGGCAGCGACGCGACCUCCCUGUCCUCGCAGCUCCCGGACACCCCCAGCAGCAUGGUGCCGAGUCCCGUGGAGACGUGAGGGGGACCCCCCGCCCCCAGCCCGCGGACCUCGCAUGCUCCCUGCAUGAGACUCACCCAGGCCCGAGCCAUUCAGCGCCGGAAACUCUUCUCGUCUUUGUAAUUGUUAUUUAACGAGGAAGGACCAAGAGAAGCGGCCAGCACAGCCCAAAGCGCCGGGACGCGACCUGCCUCCACCAGACCGGAGGGCCGUGCUCCGAGGACUGUUAUUUUUUCAAAACCAGAAUCUGGGAUCUACUAGCGUUAGGUGUGCGCUCCCAUCCCCCUCGCUCGCUGGGGCCGCUGCCCCUCCGCCCGCGCCUGCCCGGCCCCGCGCUCCCAGGCCGCUCUGCCAGGGCGCCGGCGGGGGAGAGCGCGGGGCAACCCGAAGGAACAGACACUCACCCCCCAAAGCGCAUGAUUGCCGAAAAAAAAUUGAGAUGAGACUUUUCUUGAAAAUGUUGUAAGUUAUCGGUCGACGGAGGACAGAGGGUGUGAACCUUUGCCGAACAAAACAAUGCCCUCUGGCAAGCUUCUAAAUACCUGUGUCACUGGAACCCAAGUCCUGGGUCUGCCACAGACCAGAAGACAGAACCACACACAUGGGUCUGCCUGGCUCCGGAUAUGCGACCAGCUGCUGAGGCAGACACAGACACGGAUCCCUGGUUUUCAGGAGUCUCAGGCUAUGAACUCUGCAGGGACACGGCUAUGUCUCUUUCAUUCCCUGCUUACUCCCGGCAUCUGGCAUAGUGCCUAGCACGGUGAUGACAAAUAGUAAUUCCUCAAGAACUAUCUAGAGAAUGAAUGAAUGAGGGC